GACGAACGCUGGCGGCGUGCUUAACACAUGCAAGUCGAACGAAGUGGCGAACGGGUGAGUAACGCGUAAUCAACCUGCCCUUAAGAGGGGGACAACAGUUGGAAACGACUGCUAAUACCGAAUACUGACGGCGUGGAUUUCGUCUGCGUAGCUAGUUGGAGGGGUAACGGCCCCCCAAGGCGAUGAUCAGUAGCCGGUCUGAGAGGAUGAAGGGCAACACGUGGAGUGAGACACGGCCCAGACUCCUACGGGAGGCAGCAGGGGGGAAUGUUCCGCAAUGGGCGAAAGUCUGAGGGAGCAACGCCGCGUGAGUGAGGACGGCCUUCGGGUGGUAAAGCUCUGUUAAUCGGGACGCGGUACCGGAAUAGAAAGCCACGGCUAACUACGUGCCAGCAGCCGCGGUAAUAC
rnacentral:rRNA from 1 species